UCCUUGGUGGCUCAGACAGUAAAGAAUCUGCCUGCAAGGCAGGAGACCCAGGUUCAAUCCCUGGGUCAGGAA
rnacentral:tRNA from 1 species